AGAGGGCUUCUGAAGGGCAAAUGUAAAGCCCAGUGAGCUGCUGUCAGCCUUGCUGCAGGGGGAGAUGUUGAAGAACGCCAGAGCAGAGACGUCCCACUCCUCGUCCCAUUGUUCCUGUCACUUCACUCCCGGAGGCACUGCCUUUCUUACCUUCAGAGUCUAAAUACACAGGACCCACCAUUCUUCACGCUCAGCAUCCAGAGCAGCUUCAAUCAAAUCUUCAACCACUGUUGUGUAAUACAUUUUGUGAAUGUAGGAAUAAGACUGAUGGAGAGAGAGAGUAAGAAUGACAGUGACACAUCUCUGAGGAAAAAGAAAGCCUUCCCUUUUUCCUCAUACCCGGAAACUAAAUAUAAGUCACUACUUUCCCUUACUGCUUUCAUCCAUGUCCAGUUAGCAGACUGGCGAGAGGUGCUCCAAAAACAUGAGAGGGAAAGUGUUUUUUUUGGGCAUAUGCUGAGAGCUAAGGCUAAUGUAGGGGCCAUUAUUUAGCCUGGCCUGACAUUGUCCACAUCUAUAGUCCCCAGCGUGACUGGCUGUCUGCACUGCGAUUACAACAUCAACACACAGGGCUUGGGCGGUUGUGCUGCAAUCACUGUGGAAGCCUUUAACUCAUAGGCGGUCCAGACAUUGAAGAAAACACAUCCCAUAAUGCACCUCCUAGCUGUGAGCGUUUGAAGGAAUGGAGUCCGAACACCAGCAGCCAAACGCAGUUGCCAUAGCUGCACCAUUACUUAUUAGGAUUGGCACUUUGUUUUCCACAUGGGAGGUCUGUUUUUAGAGAGAAUCUGUGGUGACAGCUUUAGUUUGGAACAGACAGCUGUGCUAUUUUUAAGGCCCUGCAAUGAUCUGUUUGGAA